rnacentral:sRNA from 3 species
UGCAUCUGAAGCCUGACGAGGAUGAGAACCUCCGGGGGCAAGAGGUUCGACUCGAGCGCAGCGAGAGAACGUUGCGUCAGCAACGGCCCGCAGGGCGAGCCA